rnacentral:misc_RNA from 1 species
GUGGGAGGGGGCUUGCCCUCGAUAGCGGAGUGUCAGUUACAGAUGUAAUGACUGAUACCCAGCAAUCGGGGGCAAGCCCCCUCCCAC